GAUGAACGCUAGCGAUAGGCUUAACACAUGCAAGUCGAGGGGCAGCAUGGUCUUAGCUUGCUAAGACUGAUGGCGACCGGCGCACGGGUGCGUAACGCGUAUGCAACUUGCCUCACAGAGGGGGAUAACCCGUCGAAAGACGGACUAAUACCGCGUACACUUGGGAUAGGGCAUCCUGACCCAAGGAAAUGAAAUUCGCUGUGAGAUAGGCAUGCGUCCCAUUAGCUAGUUGGUGAGGUAACGGCUCACCAAGGCGACGAUGGGUAGGGGAACUGAGAGGUUGAACCCCCACACUGGUACUGAGACACGGACCAGACUCCUACGGGAGGCAGCAGUGAGGAAUAUUGGUCAAUGGGCGAGAGCCUGAACCAGCCAAGUCGCGUGAAGGAUGACUGUCUUAUGGAUGGUAAACUUCUUUUAGACGGGAAUAACAAGAGUCACGUGUGGCUCCCUGCAUGUACCGUAUGAAUAAGCAUCGGCUAACUCCGUG
rnacentral:rRNA from 1 species